rnacentral:rRNA from 1 species
AUGAGUGCUAAGAGAAUGAUUUAACAAUUAAUAACUUUCUUUAUUUUAAAAAUUAAAUUUAAUUUUUUUGUGAGGAAGCAAAAAUAUAAAUUAGGGACAAGAAGACCCUAUGAAUUUUUUAAUUAAUAUUUAUGUUAAUUGUUAAUUUAAUAUUAAUUUUGUUGGGGCGACAGAAAAAGAAUAAUUAUCUUUUACUAAUAAGUUAAUUUGGAUCCAUUAUUUAGUGAUUUAAUGAGAAAAAUACUCUAGGGAUAACAGCGUAAUAAUUUUGGAUAGUUCUUAUAGAUAAAAUAGUUUGCGACCUCGAUGUUGGAUUAGGAUUCUUUUUUAAUGAAGAAGUUAAAAAAAGAAGUUUGUUCAACUUUUAAAUUCCU